GAGAUGGUAUAAUAAACAAGUGCGAUGGCACCAUACAAGAUUCGGAGGGCGGGCAGCUUUAUUUAGAUGUGUCACCGGAUUCAGUGUGGAAGCCGAGUUUAAUUUUAAACAAUCAUGUGUUUCGAAAUAAUUACUACAUCAGCAAAAACAUUUUCGGUGGAGGUCACUUGGUAGAGAUUCAGUGGAGUGGCCUAAUGAGGUGGAGCACGUCGAUGUAUGUCCACACAAAAUGCCACCCCAGCUCCAAUAGUUGGCCAUGGGAUUCUCACAAGUGUAAUCUGAAUUUCACAACCAACGUAAAUGUCACGGAUCCUUUCGUGUUCCAAGAACACGACCCGGAGUUGGAUGAAGUGAUAUCAUUAUGGACAGUCACCAAUGUCAAAACGGAACGUAAUUUUCCCACAUUAAACAUUGAAAUAACUUUUGAAAUGAACAGCCGCUCGUCCAAGAUUGUAUCAUGUUUGGCGUUCAUAGGUU